rnacentral:rRNA from 1 species
UACGUAGGGUGCGAGCGUUGCCCGGAUUUAUUGGGCGUAAAGGGCGCGUAGGCGGCUCUGCACGUCCGUUGUGAAAUCGCCCGGCUCAACUGGGCGGGGUCAGCGGAUACGGCGGAGCUUGAGCAAGCUAGGGGGCAAUGGAAUUCCCGGUGUAGUGGUGGAAUGCGUAGAUAUCGGGAAGAACACCAGUGGCGAAGGCGGCUCACUGGCCCGGUACUGACGCUGAGGUGCGAAAGCGUGGGGAGCAAACAGG